ACGGAAGGCAGCAGUGGGGAAUAUUGCACAAUGGGCGAAAGCCUGAUGCAGCGACGCCGCGUGAGUGAAGAAGUAUCUCGGUAUGUAAAGCUCUAUCAGCAGGGAAGAAAAUGACGGUACCUGACUAUGAAGCCCCGGCUAACUACGUGCCAGCAGCCGCGGUAAUACGUAGGGGGCAAGCGUUAUCCGGAUUUACUGGGUGUAAAGGGAGCGUAGACGGUUUGGCAAGUCUGAAGUGAAAUGCGGGGGCUCAACUCCUGAACUGCUUUGGAAACUGUCGAACUAGAGUGCAGGAGAGGUAAGUGGAAUUCCUAGUGUAGCGGUGAAAUGCGUAGAUAUUAGGAGGAACACCAGUGGCGAAGGCGGCUUACUGGACUGUAACUGACGUUGAGGCUCGAAAGCGUGGGGAGCAAACAGGAUUAGAUACCCUGGUA
rnacentral:rRNA from 1 species